rnacentral:rRNA from 1 species
ACGCGAAGAACCUUACCCAGGCUUGAACAGCGAGUGACCACUCAUGAAAGUGAGCUUCCGCAAGGACACUCGUAGAGGUGCUGCAUGGCUGUCGUCAGCUCGUGUCGUGAGAUGUUGGGUUAAGUCCCGCAACGAGCGCAACCCUUGUUUGCUGUUGCCAUCAGGUUAUGCUGGGCACUCUGCAAAGACCGCCGGUGAUAAACCGGAGGAAGGUGGGGAUGACGUCAAGUCAGCAUGGCCUUUAUGUCUGGGGCUACACACGUGCUACAAUGGCCGGUACAAACCGUCGCGAGCCCGCAAGGGGGAGCUAAUCGGAGAAAGCCGGUCUCAGUUCGGAUAGCAGGCUGCAACUCGCCUGCUUGAAGUUGGAAUCGCUAGUAAUCGCGGAUCAGCACGCCGCGGUGAAUACGUUCCCGGGCCUUGUA